GCUAGGUUGAGCCUUCUCCAUCCUUGUUUCUCCAUAAGGCUCAUCGUUAUCGAUCCGUUUGUUGUGCCUAAACGCCGCGAUGGCAACCAUAUACAUGAUAACAAGGAGGAUCAAUAUGACUAUGUUGAUAACAGACACUUUUCUCCAACUCUUUUUAAGGCUAGCAAGUACACCAGCUUUGCAAGAGUCACAAUUGUAACAGAGCUGUUCUUGAUCAUUGCUCCAUUUAACACAAUCUGGAUCAGCUCCA
rnacentral:misc_RNA from 1 species